UACAGAGGGUGCGAACGUUGCUCGGAUUUACUGGGCGUAAAGCGCGUGUAGGCGGGCUCGCAAGUCGGUUGUGAAAUCCCUGGGCUCAACCUAGGAACUGCAUCCGAAACUGCUUGUCUUGAGUGGUAGAGAGGGUGGCGGAAUUCCCGGUGUAGAGGUGAAAUUCGUAGAUAUCGGGAGGAACAUCAGUGGCGAAGGCGGCCACCUGGAUACUUACUGACGCUGAGACGCGAAAGCGUGGGGAGCAAACAGG
rnacentral:rRNA from 1 species